UACGUAGGGGGCUAGCGUUGUCCGGAAUCAUUGGGCGUAAAGCGCGUGUAGGCGGUCCGGUAAGUCCGCUGUGAAAGUCGAGGGCUCAACCCUCGAAUGCCGGUGGAUACUGUCGGGCUUGAGUACGGGAGAGGCGAGUGGAAUUCCCGGUGUAGCGGUGAAAUGCGCAGAUAUCGGGAAGAACACCGGUGGCGAAGGCGGCUCUCUGGGCCUGUCCUGACGCUCAGGCGCGAAAGCUAGGGGAGCGAACAGG
rnacentral:rRNA from 1 species